UAAAUACUCCCUCUGUCUGGAAAUACAUGUCGGAGAAAUUGAUGUAUCUAGACGUAUUUUAGUUCUAGAUACAUCUAUUUUUAUCCAUUUCUCCGACAAGUAUUUCCGGACGGAAGGAGUAUAAG
rnacentral:pre_miRNA from 1 species